rnacentral:rRNA from 1 species
UACGUAGGGUGCAAGCGUUAAUCGGAAUUACUGGGCGUAAAGCGUGCGCAGGCGGUUAUGCAAGCCAGAUGUGAAAUCCCCGGGCUUAACCUGGGAACUGCAUUUGUGACUGCAUAGCUAGAGUACGGUAGAGGGGGAUGGAAUUCCGCGUGUAGCAGUGAAAUGCGUAGAUAUGCGGAGGAACACCGAUGGCGAAGGCAGUCCCCUGGACCUGUACUGACGCUCAUGCACGAAAGCGUGGGGAGCAAACAGG